UACGUAGGGGGCAAGCGUUUGUCCGGAUUUAUUGGGCGUAAAGAGCGUGUAGGCGGCUAGGUAGGUCCGUUGUGAAAACUCGAGGCUCAACCUCGAGACGUCGAUGGAAACCAUCUGGCUAGAGUCCGGAAGAGGAGAGUGGAAUUCCUGGUGUAGCGGUGAAAUGCGCAGAUAUCAGGAGGAACACCGAUUGCGAAGGCAGCUCGCUGGGACGUAACUGACGCUGAGACGCGAAAGCGUGGGGGAGCAAACAGG
rnacentral:rRNA from 1 species